rnacentral:lncRNA from 1 species
CGGGGGGACCAGGCGCGUGAACCGGUAAACCGCCCCCUCCCCGCCCGCCCUGCGUCCCGACGCCGCCGCUCCGACGCCCGUCGAGACGAGUACCAGUCGAAGACACAGCUUUCUUCCGAACGCAAGUCGCUCUCUCACCUGCUUUUUCGUCUCCGAAGACGACGUCGACUCUAAAACUACGUUCACGCCAAUUUCUCCUCACGCGCACAGAUCGCGCUUUCCUUCUCUCUCGAGUCAGUCCGCGAAACUUUUUCUUAUCACUGAUAACGCGACGGCUUAUCAGAGUCGUCCUGUGCUCGGGUUGUUUCCCGCGGGAAUUGUGAAGUGUCCCCCUAAAAGUUUUCUCUCCCGGUGUUUUUUUUUAAAUUUUAUUCCUACUGGUGGUAAAAGUUCACGCGCCUGAGUUUCGCGCAAAUAUGGGAAGUGUUUUGACAAAGUUCUGAUCGAUUGUGCGCGUGUGUGUAGGUGUGGUGCUUUAUCCUCGUCCUGCGUCGCUCAUGAAUAAAAAAGGUGAGGCCUUUUUUGAUGACGUCACUAAAGCUGUUUCCUGGCUCUCGCAACCUCUCUUAUCAACACAGAAACAGGCGCAUUUUUGUUGCAUCCUUUUUGGAUCGAGGAUCAAGCUGGCUCGGCAGUGGCAAACUAUGCUGCGCUCGAUUUUUCAGACGCAACUCAUAUAACGAGCUUGGGCACUCCCGCUCCGUCUUCCCUCCGCACCAACCAUCAACGACUCAAGGUAAACUCUACAUAUCUUUUAUCUAAUGGAAUCUAUAGACAAAGCUAUGUACAAUAGAUAUUAUAGGGAACGUGGAGCGAUCCUAUUGUUUGUAAUACUUUAUUUUUUAUUUGAUUUUAUUUAUUUUUUAUUUGAUUUUAUUUAUUUAUUUAUCUAUUUAUUAUUUAUUUAUCUAUCCAUUUAUUUAUUUAUUUAUUUAUUUAUUUUUUAACACAUUUUAAUGUCUUGAAAACUUCUUUGAUUUUUCCUCUGGAUAAGCAGAAUAUUCUUCGAAAAUUUCAAGUUGCAAAGUUUGCUUCUUUCUCUCGAAAAAAGUAAAAUAUUUGAAAGUAUUUGAAGUUUUUGAAACCGCAACGGAGAUACGUGGAUUACGUGGCCAUCGAUAAUCUCACUAACAUACAAAUAAAGGCCUUAGAAUUACAUCU